rfam:Triticum aestivum genome assembly, contig: Triticum_aestivum_CS42_TGACv1_scaffold_577546_7BL
CUUAUACUCCCUUCGUCCGGAAAUACUUGUUAUCAAAAUGAAUAAAAGAAGAUGUAUCUAUAUGUAUUUUAGUUUUAGAUAUAUCUCUUUUUGUCUAUUUUAAUGACAAGUAUUUUCGGACGGAGGAAGUAUUUA